GACGAACCGUGCAAACGUUGUUCGGAAUCACUGGGCUUAAAGGGCGCGUAGGCGGGUGGCCAAGUCAGGGGUGAAAUCUUUCGGCUUAACCGGAAAAUUGCCUUUGAUACUGGCCGUCUUGAGGGAGGUAGGGGCAUGUGGAACUUCCGGUGGAGCGGUGAAAUGCGUUGAUAUCGGAAGGAACGCCGGUGGCGAAAGCGACGUGCUGGACCUCUUCUGACGCUGAGGCGCGAAAGCUAGGGGAGCGAACGGG
rnacentral:rRNA from 1 species